UACGGAGGGUGCAAGCGUUAAUCGGAAUUACUGGGCGUAAAGCGCGCGUAGGUGGCUUGAUAAGUCGGAUGUGAAAUCCCCGAGCUUAACCUGGGAAUUGCAUUCGAUACUGCCUGACUGGAGUAUGGUAGAGGGAAGUGGAAUUUCCGGUGUAGCGGUGAAAUGCGUAGAUAUCGGAAGGAACACCAGUGGCGAAGGCGACUUCCUGGGCCAAUACUGACGCUGAGGCGCGAAAGCGUGGGGAGCAAACAGG
rnacentral:misc_RNA from 1 species